rnacentral:rRNA from 1 species
CUACGGGCGGCACCAGCCGAGAAUAUUCGACAAUGGGCGAAAGCCUGAUCGAGCGACGCCGCGUGUAGGAUGAAGCCCUUCGGGGUGUAAACUACUUUUCUAUGGGAAAAAGUUAUUGAUGGUACCAUGGGAAUAAGGGGCUGCAAACUUCGUGCCAGCAGCCGCGGUAAUACGAAGGCCUCAAGCGUUAUCCGGAUUUACUGGGCGUAAAGAGCGUACAGGGGGAUAGACACGUCUGUUGUUAAAUCGGUAGGCCUAACCUACCGGCUGCGAUAGAUACGGUCUGUCUAGAGGGUGUCAGGGGUAGAUGGAACACACGGUGUAGGGGUGAAAUCCGUUGAUAUCGUGUGGAACACCAAAGGCGAAGGCAAUCUACUGGGACACAUCUGACCCUCAAACGCGAAAGCGUGGGGAGCAAAAAGGAUUAGAUACCCCCGUAGUC